GGUGUUGUGCUAAAGAAAGCAAGGAAGAUCGCAAACGGAAAGGACAAUGCCAAUCUAGUGCUGGGAGCUUUCGUGGACACUCUUGUUGUUCUCCCAGAUGAUCUUGUGCAAGUGAUUGCAAAGGACUUAUCCCUUGCUACUAAAGAUAUUUCUAAAACUACUGCUUGUGAUGUGGUGGCAGCCAGUGGAUUGAUGCAGCCUCAAACUUCACAUUUGGUAGACCCAAAAGCAUCCAGACAGGUUGAGAAGUGCAGCAGGCUGUGUCAGAAUAGUGAUACCUCCACUGGGAAAGUUGCUCCAAUGAACAGUAAUGCUGCAAAUGUUGGCUCUCCAAUUGAACAUAUAGUGCCAAAUUGGAAUGCAAUUCCAGUUUCUGCUGGUAUUGUAUCAAAAGAUGGAAAUGUUGCUAAUUCAGUUUUAGCUACUCCUGUGGUAGCUUCAAAUGUUAAAACAUCUCAACCAGUCAACAAUUCAUCUAUUAAAGCUGUCAUGUCAAGCAAAACCACUGCUAAGGAAUCCAAACUCAAUCCCCAUGCUAAGGUCUUCGCUCCAUCUUUUUCAAGUUCCAGACCAGUACUUGCAGCUGCACCCCCUGUUAACCCAAACUAUAUCUCAAACUCGGUUCCUGGAGUUCCAACUGGCGUACCUGUAUUUCAAACUCACUCGCAUCCAGGCAGUUCGUCUUUAUCUAGCAAGGUUGUUCAUUAUAAUAACCUGGCUCCUGGAAACUUUGGAAUUUCAUCUCAAUAUGUCCAAUCAGUUGUGGGGCAUAAUGUGGGAAGGCUAGAUCCUGCAAGACUCGGUACACCAUAUCACCCCUUGCAAGUGGGAUCAACCUAUAUCAGCCCUAGUCCUCAGCCUAUGGUCGAUGGGAAGUUCAGUCCUGUUGUUUAUGUUCAUCCAGUUUCUCAGGAUGCUAUGCGUGGAACACCAGUUAUGUCCCAAGUAUGGCCUCGCCCUUUGCUGUUGAACUCGCAUCAAGCUAGCUUGCAAAAGUUUCAAGGCACUGCCCCGUUCUUUGGGGCUCCGCCGGUCAUGGCAACCGGGAACCUGCCCAUGGUGAUGCCGAGCCCUGCAACGCUUGUGCAGCCAUUCCAGGCCAUUCAUCCAAUCAUGGUUCCUUCGGCGACCAGUAUGUAUCCAGGCAAAUACAUGUAA
rnacentral:rRNA from 1 species